GGUAGCGCAGCUAACGCGUGAAGUUGCCCGCCUGGGGAGCAUGGUCGCAAGAUUAAAACUCAAAGGAAUUGACGGGGACCCGCACAAGCGGCGGAUGAUGUGGAUUAAUUUGAUGCAACGGGAAAAACGUUACCUACCCCUGACACGUCUGGAAUUCCGAAGAGAUUUGGAAGUGCUCGCAAGAGAACCGGAACACAGGUGCUGCAUGGCUGUCGUCAGCUCGUGUCGUGAGAUGUUGGGUUAAGUCCCGCAACGAGCGCAACCCUUGUCAUUAGUUGCUACGAAAGGGCACUCUAAUGAGACUGCCGGUGACAAACCGGAGGAAGGUGGGGAUGACGUCAAGUCCUCAUGGCCCUUAUGGGUAGGGCUUCACACGUCAUACAAUGGUCGGGACAGAGGGUCGCCAACCCGCGAGGGGGAGCCAAUCCCAGAAACCCGAUCGUAGUCCGGAUCGCAGUCUGCAACUCGACUGCGUGAAGUCGGAAUCGCUAGUAAUCGCGGAUCAGCAUGUCGCGGUGAAUACGUUCCCGGGUCUUGUACACACCGCCCGUCACACCAUGGGAGUGGGUUUUACCAGAAGUAGUUAGCCUAACGUAAGGGGGGCGAUACCACGUGAUACGUCCCUCUUUAAUCUCAUUUGA
rnacentral:rRNA from 1 species